GCCAGCCGCGCCUCGAAGGCCAGCACGUCCGUCGGCCAUGGCACACAACGGCGGUGGCAGGUCGGUCUUGCUGGUCCUGGCCUUAGGUCUGCUGGCGUCAACCCACUGCUGGCCUCUGAAAACGUUUGAGCUCGAGCUCGAGCCUCCGACAGAAUGUCCAGAAGGCUGGCUCCGCUUCGGCCCUCACUGCCUUCUCCUGGCUGAGGACCGCUUGGGAUGGGAGGCUGCUCGGACUCACUGCGACAAGCUGCAGCCGGGCUCGCAUCUGGCAUCCAUCCCAGACCCAUUCCAGAUGGCAGGCAUGCUGACCAAGGUGCGGCGAGCCGGCGAGGAUUCUGUCUGGAUCGGGCUGUCGGCUCAGCCCUCCGAAAACGGUCAGCUGAUCUGGGGCUGGUCUGACGGCAGUCCACUCACCUUCGAGCAUUGGGAGGAAGACUCAGCAACCGUUGGGGGCCCGGGAGCGACCAACGGGGUCAGGGUAGCGACCGCUGGCACCAGCGGACGCCAGUGCGCUCUUCUCGCCACACGUCAGAGGAGGUGGCGCCCGGCAUCCUGCGCAAUAGAGCGACGCUUCUUCUGCAGCCUUAGGCUGGAGGACCAAGAAUGAAGGCUAGCUGUCCCACGCAAAGCUGACGGGGUAUUCGCUCCUGAUAUUGUCUGUUACCAGUGACACCACUCUGCCGGCCGUGUCACCAGUGACACCGCUCCGCCGGUCCGUAUCACUAGCGGCACCGCUCCACCGGUCUGUGUCACUAGUGACACCGCUUCGCCGGCCCGUAUCAGCAGUGACACCGACCCGCCAGCUUGUGUCACCAAUGACACCGAUCCGCCGCCUCGUGUCACCAGUGGCACCGCUCCGCCGGUCCGUGUCACCAGUGACACCGCUCCACCAGCUCGUGCCACCAGUAACACCGCUUCCCCGGUCCGUAUCACCAGUGAUACCGCUCCACCAGCUCGUGUCACCAGCGACACCGCUUCCUCGGUCCGUAUCACCAGGGAUACCGCUCCACCAUCUCGUGUCACCAGCGAGUCUCCUUCACCGAGCGCUUCGUCUCCUGAUCGCCGCAUCACCAGCGCGGAGUCACCAGUAGCACCACUCGGUGAAAGCAGUGUGACACCGCUCCGGUCCGGUGGUGUCACCAGGGACAUGGGACCGAACGCUCGCAGCCAGGGGUGCACCACUGCAGAUCGACCGGACCACCGCGCUCUCGACCCUUACAUUCUAUCAUUCUGUCGUGGCCUUUUACUUAAGCAUUAGCGCCCAAAAUCAACCGAUAAAAUUUCAGUCAAUCCGAUCCAUAUUUUUAGAAUUACAUCCCUUGGGAUAUUUGGUAGUCACGGUAUGUCGUUGCUUACGACGCCGUUUCACUGUACCAGCAGAAGGAGCGAAAUGCACUU